UACACUUUCACUCAUUUCUGGCACCAUACGUUUCAGGCUUUCUGCAUGGAAAGUCUGGUUUGCCAGUUUUCUUACUUUUGCCCAUUUUUCACCUUCAUUUGUUAUAAGUGCUUCCCCUAGUAGUUUCUUCGCAUAGCCUUCCAUGUCCAUUUUCGGGUAAAUGUCUUCUUUGUUGGACAAUACUUCUUUGAUCAGCUCUGGUUCAGUGACAAAUAAGUAUGGUUUCGAGCCAUG
rnacentral:misc_RNA from 1 species